AUUGCCCAACAAUAUAGCAACUGCAGGAACUGAAGACUAUUGAUUAAUUGGAUUCUUACCUUGUUAAACAGGUACCAUGUUCCCUGUUUGUUUCUUCAACCAGGCAACAAUGAUAUAGUCCUUUUCGAGCAAUUUGGUGGUGACCCAAGCAAGAUAUCCUUUGUGAUAAGGCAGACAGGAAGUGUGAUCGCACAAGUAUCAGAGGAACAUCCAGCCCAAAUUGAUAGUUGGAAUUCUUCUCAACAGACAAUGCAAAGAUAUGGACCUGAACUUCGCCUGGAAUGCCCAAAAGAUGGACAGGUCAUCAGCAGCAUCAAGUUUGCAAGCUUUGGGACACCGAGCGGCACGUGCAGAAGCUACAGCCACGGAGAAUGCAGCAGCAUUCAGGCUAUCUCAGUUGUUCAGGAGGUAACUAUAAGCUGCUCCAUUCUCAUGUCUCAAUGUACCAACUGAUUCUUAUGGGUUGUUGAUAGUGUUACUGGGAUUCUACAGGCUUGCAUUGGAGUGAGCAACUGCAGCGUGCCAGUGUCGUCGAAUUACUUUGGAAAUCCAUGGACAGGGGUCACAAAAAGCCUUGCGGUUGAAGCUGCAUGUUCGUGACAAGUCUGAUUAACAUUGGUUCAUAGGAAGCAAAAUCAGUGUGGAGAAUGUGAAACCUUCU
rnacentral:lncRNA from 1 species